CUGUGGGGACUCAUUUGAUACUGUCUUGAUGCAUAAUGAAGCUAAUGGUACUUAGCUCAUACUAAGUCAAUAGAGUAUGUCAAAAAUUGUAGUGAGUUUGUUGUGUUAUCCAUAAGGCUUGCUAUAGUGAUUGGUAUGAUGUUGACUUAGUGAUGCUUAUGGCAUGUUCUGAUAGUGCUGUCUUGUUGUGCUAUCCACAAAUAUAGUAUUAUUCAGAUAUGACCAUAUAGGAUUGAAGAGUAUGAUCUAACUGAAGUACUAUAGUUUAUUAUGCUAUCCACAAGACUAUAAGUAUUUUAGAGGUAA
rnacentral:lncRNA from 1 species